GUCCCUCAUCCAUUCAUCUCCAUCCCUCCUGUCUGUUUUUGGUGUUCCACCAUGGCUAAAAACAUUACUGAUUUCAUGAGGAAACGUGGGACUUUCUUUGGGGUCUCCGGUCUGUUACUUGGCGGUUUGGAGAAAAUGAUGGACGGUAAUUUUGUUUGUCCUUGUAAAUCUGGCGAAAAUGAGCUGCAAACUGCUUAUUACGCCUUCAUACCUUUCUUCGGUUGCUUUAUUUUAACCUUUUUUUGCGUCAAAAUGAAGAAGGAUGAAACCAUAAUAAAGAACAAGUGCACAUGUGAAAGAUUUCUGUUCUCCACCAUCAUAGCCUUCAUCUGGCUGGUCUUUUUCUUCAUCGACGGCCGAUACGUCAUCUGUGCUCUUGCAGAAUGGGAGAGUUUACAGUGCCAAAGCACUGGUGAAAUAGAUUUCGAGAAGGGGCAUAAGAAGACCAAUAUGUAUUUGAUCAUAUCCAAGUGUAUAGGUGGCGCCAUACUGGUGUUCGUCCUGAUUCUAUAUACCUGCCUACAAACUCAGAAGCGCAGAAGCAGACGUACCUAGGAGCACCGUCUGUAACUCAGGAGAAUCAGGUGUGACUCAGUGAUCAGAUGGUUGUGAAUUCAAACCCCAGAACUGCUGUGAAGAUCCUUAACCUUCAACCCUCACCUGCUCAGCGCUUAGCUUCCUA